rnacentral:lncRNA from 1 species
CACAACCCACGUUACAAAUCCUCCUCCUCAUCAUAACCAUUCUGUUUUCCGCAUAAUAUCCAAAAACCUAUCAUGUCUGAAGAGAAACACCACCGCGGUCUCUUCCACCACCACAAGGAUGAAGACAAACCCUCAGACUACCCUCAGUCUGGCUACUCUGAUGAAGGACGUCCCGGCGGCCUCGGUGGUGGUUACGGCGACACCAAUGAUUAUUCUGGUGAAGGACGUACCGGCGGCCUAGGUGGUGGCUAUGGCGACACCAAUGCUUAUUCUGGUGAAGGACGUCCCGGCGGCUAUGGCGGCUAUAACGAGACCACUGCUUACUCUGAGGAAAGAGUUGAAAGACCCGGCGGUGGCCGGUACAGUGAGACUACUGCGGCAUAUGGCAGCACCACCACUCAUGAAUCUGAACUUGAUUACAAGAAGGAGGAGAAGCACCACAAGCAUCUCGAGCACCUCGGCGAGGCCGGUGUAGCUGCUGCCGGCGCUUUUGCCUUGGUACGUAUUGUAUUUUAACCCACCUCUAUAUAUAUAUAUAUUAGAAUAAUGCUAAUAAGACCAAAUUUUGAAAACUAAAUGAUGUGGUUGUUGAUAAUGAACUUAUUACUCAAGUCUUGAUUAACAUGCUUAUUUUCUAAUAGUGACACAUUAUUUGGUUUAGAAAUUUGGUCUUCCUAACUUUAUCAUUCUCAAAAUUUUCAUGAUUUUGAUAGGGUAAUACGGGAGAUCAAAAUUUCUAAACCAAAUUUGCAAACCAAUAGAUGAUUGGAUUAUUAAUUAAGUAUCGAUUGUUUGUUUCUUAUUAACGACAUAUCAUUUGAUUUACAAUUUAGUUAAAAAAAAUUUAUUCUUUCUGUCAUAUCCUUUUGAAUAUUUGAUCACUUUACUCUUUAUCACUUUACCCUUGAUCACUUUACCCAUACUCUUGCAACCGAAUCACCGUCCUCCUCCUUAACCUUCAUUUUUUUGUCUUACAGUACUCCAAUCUAUCAACUCUGUCCAUUGCAACUUUAAUUGUGAAGAAAAUUAAAGUCCUAUCGUAAAAUUAAUUAGUGAUAUGGAGAGUUGCGCAAUUAUUGAUGGACUAGGUAGGUAAGAUACGGAAUCAAAGUCUACCAUUAACAAUGGACGGAAUUGAUGAACCAUAUAGGUAUGUAAGAUACGGAAUCAAAGUCCUCAUGUAAAUGGUACAGUUGCAAUCAGGAGAAGAAAUGAGUUAACUGAUACCUUCGUAAUAGUUCAUGUAGAGUUUUGAUAUUAUUAAGCCUUAACCACCUGAUCUUAUAUAUACGAGGACAAAUCUAAUCAAAUAUGUGUUAAUUUCAAGGUUUGUUUUACAUUGAUGUGAGAUCGAUGCUAGCAAGAUAUAUAACUUAUGUCAGUUUCUAUAUGAUGUGUGUAGCAUGAGAAGCACAAUGAAAAGAAAGACCCAGAGCAUGCCCACAGGCACAAGAUAGAAGAGGAGAUUGCUGCAGCAGCUGCAGUUGGUUCGGGUGGAUUUGCCUUCCAUGAGCAUCAUGAGAAGAAAGAGACAAAGGAAGAAGAGGAAGAGGCUUAUGGAAAGAAGAAGCACCACCACUUCUAGAUCUAUGUGGAUUGUGGAACAUCAUCUUUUGACUACAUAUGCAAUGUUGUGUUUUUACUAGUUAUCAUGUGGUGUGAUCAGUGAGAGUGUGAUGCUUAAUCUCAACAAUAUCGCUACAAUAGUUGAGUGGUUAAAUGUCCUUUUCAAUUAAUGGGUGCUAUCUGGUUUUCUUUUAGCAUGCCAUCUAUGUAUGUAUGUAUGUAUGUAUGUCAUUGUUAUUGUUCAUAAUAAUACUGUUUACUCGGUGUUUAUUUCCUAGUGGCCACAUCUCAUUUUAAAUGAUUUCUUCAUACCAUUAAUUUUUUAAAUGUAAAGACUCAGUAUCCAUAUAACUACGAAAAUUUUUGACAAAACAAAAACAAGAAAAAAGAAAAGGAAAAAAUGGCUUAGCAAGUUUGUAUCCUAUAAGACAAAUGGGUACGUGGAACGAUGGACAUCUCACAAUGGUUUUUGAAUCGUCGGAUCAUCAUGGUUGGACUAUAUAAUUAUCAUUGAUAUAAUAUAAAUUUUGAUUUUUUUUUAGGAAAUUAAUAUCUGAAAACAAUAUUGAUGUACUGCAUUUGUUUUGGACGAUAUUAUACUUUAAUCCAAAUUUUGAGAAAAAAAAAACAUAUCGAACUCAGGUGUACAAGAGUGGCUUUGCUACCCAUGUACAGGGCUAGUUCUGAGUUUUUGGGUGCCCAGUGCGAAAGCUCAAAAUGUGACAUUUUUUAAUACGAAAACAUAUAUUAAAAAAAAUAUUUAAUGAGGGCUGGAACCCAGUCGAAGCUGGAGGGCUAGGACCUCACGCCCAAAUUAUAUUACUUGAGAAAAUAUACAACUGAGGAGGGGACAUGGUACCUAAACCCCGACAAUCAAAAGUACAAUCAUAUACAACCACUCCUAGCAAAUCUCCUUCAAAUUUCAACCUUUAAGAAAUUGUCUUCUGGCAUUUUUUGAAGCAAAAUCAUCAAUUAUAUCAUCAUACUCCAAGUCUUCAAUCUCAUCAUUUUCAAUGCAUAAGAUUGCUAAUCCAUUUAGCCUAUCUUGAGUCAUAGUGGUCCGCAAGUAAGAUUUUAAUAAUUUCAAUUUUGAAAAACUUCUUUUUGCAGAUGCCAUGGUCACAAGUACAGUUAACAGUACACGAUAAGCAAUCAAGACAUUAGGACACAUGUCAGUUUCUUUUACAAAAUUUGCUAUUUCCAUGGAUGUCCAAGGGUUAUUAGAGAGAAAUGCUUCUUCAGGUAAUAUCAUUUGCAAAACCUGCAAUUCGGAAUAUAAGUCAACUCCAUCUACAUCCAUGGUAUUUCCAUGUUUCAAAUGUGCUUCAAGAUUCAUACAAUUUUCUUUUAGCUCUUGAUCAUCCAAUGAAAUUAACUUUGGUGCAUCAAACAAGAAGCCAAAAAUAGAUUCAAAGGAUUUUAACUGUUCAAACUUGUGUUUCAGUUGAGAAAGAGCAAUAUCCACUAUAACAAGAAAAUAAUAUUUCCUAAAUGAUUCUUUAGCAGAUUAUUGUUCCCUCUCAUUACCAUCAACUUCAUCAUGAUGUCUUUUUCUAGGUCUAUGACAUUUAGUUUGAAAAAACAGGGUCAAUUUCCAAAUCAAGUGCAAUUUCAUUAGCAUCACUCAUGGCGGAAGCAAAACCAGUUUCUCUGUAGUUUCCAAAAAAUGUAACAAAUGCUUCAAAUGCCUUUACAGCAACAUCAAGACGCAUGUCUUUAGAUUGUAAUUUUAUGCUCACCAUGUUAAUCUUCAACAAAAUGUCAUACUAAAUAACCAAACUUAAUACAAAAUCAAAACUUGAAAGUUCGCCUGAUGCUAAACAUCUUGCAUCCCUACUUAAUUGAGGAUUUUCAGUAAUUUCCACCAAUUAAACAAAGCAUUUCUAACCUGGGCUACUUGAGACUUAAUUGCUUUAACAUUUUCAAUGUGACUUUCCCAUCGAGUAGUUGACAAUGACUUCAAAGUUAAACCAUCAAUAUGUUCAACCAAAAUAUUCCAACGCUUUGUAGAGUUGGAAAACACCAUAUAUAUGCAUUGACAUGCUCUAAAAAAAGAUUUUGCUUUAAGACAUGAACUUGCCAUAUCACAAACUAUUAAAUUAAGCUAAUGAAAACCACAUGGCAUGUAAAAGGCUAUGGGAUUUAUGUCUAACAAUCUUUUCUGGACAACUUGGUGUUUCCCUCUCAUGUUAGAUCCAUUAUCAUAACCCUGUCCCCUCAUAUCAUCAAUAUCAAGGUCUAAAAUAUCGAUAUUAUCCCGAUAUUUCUUUCGAAAUUUCUGUGUUUUUGGAUUACCGAUAUUUCCGAUAUCAUCGAUAUUUUAGACCUUGAUAGGAACUCUAUGUGAUACUAAGUCACUCAUGUAUCUUACCAUGCAAUGUAUAAAGUGUAAAAUAUUGUAUUAAUUCAUUAUAUAUAAAUGAUUAUGGUGUGUUUAACUUCUUUCAUUAAUUACUACAUAUUUUCUACACUCAAAAUGUUUGUCAGCUCACUAUAUAAUCAACUUAAAUAAGUUAAAUCCAUCAUGAAAUGCAUUUCGUUCCAAUUUUUUGUAAUAAACUAGUAGAUAAUUGACUAAAUAAACAUCCUGCAAAGUUUCAAUAAAAAUUUCCAAGUUUUUCUUAUAAUUUCCGUGGUUUUUAUUCAAUUUUUAUCGAUAUCGAUAAUAUCCCGAUAUUUCCAUCAAAAUUUCCGUAUUUUUGGACUAUCAAUAUUUUCGAUAUCAUUGAUAUUUUAGACCUUGAUCAAUAUCAAGAUCAAGAGAUUUUAGGACAUCUUGCAGCUCGUUAAAAAGCCCUUGUCCUAAUGUAUCUUUCACACUUAAAAACUCCAUGAAAUACUCCCUUAUAUUUAUUGACCUACUUGACAAGUCAACACAUCACAAAAUUAAAGUCAUCUGUUCCACAUGACUUGCAUUAGGAGUACAAUCAAGAAUGACAAAAAAAAAUUUGGCUUCUUUUACUUUUUUAAUGAU